GGGUGAUUAGCUCAGCUGGGAGAGCACCUCCCUUACAAGGAGGGGGUCGGCGGUUCGAUCCCGUCAUC
rnacentral:tRNA from 5 species